GAUGAACGCUAGCUACAGGCUUAACACAUGCAAGUCGAGGGGUAACGAGAGGGAAGCUUGCUUUCCUUGUCGACGACCGGCGCACGGGUGAGUAACGCGUAUCCAACCUGCCCCCAACUAAGGAAUAACCUUGCGAAAGUAAGACUAAUACCCUAUAAUUUCCUCAGAUGACAUCUGACGAGGAAUAAAGAUUUAUCGGUUGUGGAUGGGGAUGCGUCUGAUUAGCUUGUUGGCGGGGUAAUGGCCCACCAAGGCAACGAUCAGUAGGGGUUCUGAGAGGAAGGUCCCCCACAUUGGAACUGAGACACGGUCCAAACUCCUACGGGAGGCAGCAGUGAGGAAUAUUGGUCAAUGGGCGGAAGCCUGAACCAGCCAAGUAGUGUGCAGGAUGACGGCCCUAUGGGUUGUAAACUGCUUUUAUACAGGAAUAAAGUUAGCCACGUGUGGUUAUUUGUAGGUACUGUAUGAAUAAGGACCGGCUAAUUCCGUGCCAGCCGCCGCCGUAA
rnacentral:rRNA from 1 species